rnacentral:rRNA from 1 species
GACGAACGCUGGCGGCGUGCCUAAUACAUGCAAGUUGAGCGCUGGAGGUUGGUUCUUGUCCCAACUGGCUGAGCAGCGCACGGGUGAGUAACGCGUGGGGAAUCUGCCUUUGAGCGGGGGACAACAUUUGGAAACGAAUGCUAAUACCGCAUAAAAACUUUAAACACAAGUUUUAAGUUUGAAAGAUGCAAUUGCAUCACUCAAAGAUGAUCCCGCGUUGUAUUAGCUAGUUGGUGAGGUAAAGGCUCACCAAGGCGAUGAUACAUAGCCGACCUGAGAGGGUGGUAGGCCACAUUGGAAGUGGGCCAGGGCCCAAACGCCUACGGGAGGCAGCAGAAGGGAAUGGUCGGCAGUGGACGAAAGUCUGGCCGAGCAAGCCGGCGUGAGUGAAGAAGAUGUUCGGAUCGUAAAGCUCUGUUGGUGGUGAUGAACGGUGUUGGGAGGGGAAGGAUCGUGAGGGACGGGAAACGGUCCAGAAGGGGAGGGCAAACACGGU